UGGGGCAUAUUGCACAAUGGGCGCAAGCCUGAUGCAGCCAUGCCGCGUGUGUGAAGAAGGCCUUCGGGUUGUAAAGCACUUUCAGCGGGGAGGAAGGCGAUAAGGUUAAUAACCUUGUCGAUUGACGUUACCCGCAGAAGAAGCACCGGCUAACUCCGUGCCAGCAGCCGCGGUAAUACGGAGGGUGCAAGCGUUAAUCGGAAUUACUGGGCGUAAAGCGCACGCAGGCGGUUUGUUAAGUCAGAUGUGAAAUCCCCGGGCUCAACCUGGGAACUGCAUCUGAUACUGGCAAGCUUGAGUCUCGUAGAGGGGGGUAGAAUUCCAGGUGUAGCGGUGAAAUGCGUAGAGAUCUGGAGGAAUACCGGUGGCGAAGGCGGCCCCCUGGACGAAGACUGACGCUCAGGUGCGAAAGCGUGGGGAGCAAACAGG
rnacentral:rRNA from 1 species